rnacentral:rRNA from 1 species
AGCAAUCUGCCCAUAUCUGGGGGAUAACAGUUGGAACGACUGAUAAUACCGCAUAACAUGGUUUGAAGGCAUCUUCUUUCCAUCAAAGGAUUUAUCGGAUAUGGAGUGACGCUCGCGUCUGAUUAGCUUGUUGGUGAGGUAACGGCUCACCAAGGCGACGAUCAGUAGCCGACCUGGAGAGGGUGAUCGGCCCACAUUGGAACUGAGACACGGUCCAAACUCCUACGGGAGGCAGCAG